UCCCAUCCCUCAUCUGUGCCGGGUCUUCACCAUUCCCUUUGACCAACUCUCUGAGGCAGAGUGCUCUGUCCUCAGUAAGGGCCUCACCUUUGUCCCCCUUCGCCCACACCUCAGCGAGUUCCGCGUAUGCCAUGAUGCCGAACUCUUCUUCCGUUGGCUCCGUCUCUAAACUUACUUCUUUGGCAAGGACUCUCCUACCCCCGCCGAUGACCCCUUAUCCCGUCUUCAACCCUCCUCCUCUUCAUGGACACCCCACUCUGGUCUUCUGCCUGCUCUGGAUUUCUUUAUUGCUAAUUGCCGACGGGACAUCAACCAUCUUGACUUCACCACACCCUGUUCCAAUUCCAACCUCACUCCUUCCGAACGCUCUGCUCUCCGCUCCCUCCGCACCAAUCCCAAUCUCACUAUAAAACCUGCUGAUAAGGGGGGAGCUGUAGUUGUCUGGCGUACUGACCUCUACCUGGCCGAGGCACAGCGACAACUCUCUGAUACCUCCUCUUAUUUACCCCUUGAUCAUGACCCCACUAAGGAGCACCAGGCCGUUGUCUCCUAUACCAUCACCAACCUUAUCAGCUCUGGGGAUCUCCCAUCCACUGCCGCCAACCUCAUAGUUCACACACCCCGCACUUCCCAUUUCUACCUCCUACCCAAGAUCCACAAACCUGCCUGUCCAGGUAGACCUAUUGUCUCAGCUUGCUCCUGCCCCACUGAACUUAUUUCUGCAUACCUUGACACUGUUUUAUCCCCCCUUGUUCAAUCCCUUUCCACCUAUGUUCGGGACACUUCUCACGCUUUGAAUUUUUUCAAUGAUUUUAAGUUCCCUGGCCCCCACUGCCUUAUUUUCACCAUGGACAUCCUGUCCCUAUAUACCUUCAUCCCCCACCAGGAAGGUUUCAAAGCUCUCCACUUCUUUUUGGAUUCCAGACCUAACCAAUUCCCCUCUACCACCACUCUCCUCCAUCUAGCGGAAUUAGUUCUUACUCUCAAUAAUUUCUCCUUUGGCUCCUCCCACUUCCUCCAAACCAAGGGUGUAGCCAUGGACACCCGCAUGGGUCCCAGUUAUGCCUGCCUUUUUGUUGGCUUUGUGGAACAGUCCAUUAUCCAAGCCUAUACGGGUAUCCAUCCCCUUAUUUUCCUUCACUAUGUUGACGACUGCAUUGGCGCUGCCUCCUGCACGCAUGCUGAGCUCGUCGACUUCAUUCACUUUGCCUCCAACUUUCACCCUGCCCUCAAAUUAACCUGGUCUAGUUCUGACACCUCCCUCCCCUUUCUUGAUCUUUCUGUCUCCAUCUCUGGAGACGGCUUAUCUGCUGAUAUCUAUUAUAAGCCUACAGACUCUCACAGCUCCCUGAACUAUUCCUCUUCCCACCCUGUCUCUUGCAAAAAUGCUAUCCCCUUCUCACAAUUCCUCCGUCUCCGCCGCAUCUGCUCUCAGGAUGAGGCUUUUCAUUCCAGGACGAAGGAGAUGUCUUCUUUUUUUAAACAAAGGGGCUUCCCUUCUUCCACCAUCAACUCUGCUCUCAAAAGCAUGUCUCCCAUUUCCUGCACAUCUGCCCUCACCCCAUCCACCCACCACCCCACUCGGGAUAGGGUCCCCCUUGUCUCAACCUACCACCCCACCAGCCUCCAGAUCCAACGUAUAAUUCUCCGUAACUUCCGCCACCUCCAACGGGAUCCCACUAGCAAGCACCUCUUUCCCUCCCCCCCUUUCUGCUUUCCACAGGGAUCGCUCCAUACGCGACUCUCUUGUCCACUUGUCCCCCCCCCCCACCCCUUCCCACCAAUUUCCCUCCUGGCACUUAUCCUUGUAAACGGAACAAGUGCUACACCUGCCCUUACAGUUCUUCCCUCACCACCAUUCAGGGCCCCAGACAGUCCUUGCAGGUGAGGUGACACUUCACCUGUGAGUCGGCUGGUGUGGUAUACUGCGUCUGGUGUUCCCGGUGUGGCCUUUUAUAUAUUGGUGAGACCCGACGCAGACUGGGAGACCAUUUCGCUGAACACCUACGCUCUGUCUGCCAGAGAAAGCAGGAUCUCCCAGUGGCCACACAUUUCAAUUCCACAUCCCAUUCCAUAUCUGAUAUGUCUAUCCAUGGCCUCCAUGAACAACACCUUAUAUACCGGUUGGGUAGCCUCCAACCUGAUGGCAUGAACACCGAUUUCUAACUUCUGUUAAUGCUUCUCCUCCCCUUCUUACCCCAUCCCUAAUAUAUUUUUUUUUCCCCUUCGCCUUUUUUUCUCUCUGCCCAUCACUCUGCCUGUUCUCCAUCUCCCUCUGGUGCUUACCCCCCCCCCCCCCCCCGCUUUCUUUCUCCCUAGGCCUCCCGUCCCAUGAUCCUUUCCCUUCUCCAGCUCUGUAUCACUUUUGCCAAUCACCUUUCCGACUCUCAGCUUCACCCCACCCCCUCCGGUCUUCUCCUAUCAUUUCGCAUUUUCCCUUCCCCCCCACUACUUUCAAAUCUCUUACUAUCUCUCCUUUCAGUUAGUCCUGACAAAGGGUCUCGGCCCGAAAUGUCGACAGUGCUUCUCCCUAUAGAUGUUGCCUGGCCUGCUGUGUUCCACCAGUGUGUGUUACAGUCACAUUGUACUAUUUUUUCCCGGCAUUAUGUGAUCAAGAAUUGAUUAUAUUUUGCUGGAGUGAAAGUCAAUAAUGACAAUUUCCAGUGCUGGAUAUGCAUUUAAUGCCACCAGUCUUCAUGCGAUGCUAUUUUACAGUUUCUCUUGGUGAAACUCAGUCACAUUGUUCCAAAAUGCCUCAAGCACUGGUCAUUCAGGGACUAUGUGGAUUUCCACAAUAUUGUUUGCUGUGCAGCUGUACAAUUUAAUGGGACAGUUCAGUGUCUUCAGAGUCUGAAGUUUAACAAGGUUGUCAUCACUGAAAUAUGCAGACUAAACUGUAGGCUUGUACCAAUGCUGGAUUUCACUGGCAUUUAAGGUCAGGUUCCCAGUCAUAAACACAACACAUCUACAAAUGCUGGAAAUCCAGAGUGACACACAUCAAAUGCUGGAUGUACUCAGUAGGGGAAUAAAUAGUCGACGUUUCAAGCUGAAAACCUUCAUAAGGCCAUCAGUGGUGGGAGACAGUACAAGCUUGUGCUGUCAGGACCAAGUAUUUCUGCUUCCAGAUCUCUCCUUGACGUUUAACAUUACAAUAACUAUUUAAAAUUACAGGGACAUUUCAAAUACUUUUAGCUCCUUUUUUUAAACAAAAACUGACCAUUCUAGCAUGAGCUCUGAUAGAAUUCCUUGAAAUUACAAAAUACUCGUAUUCUUACAACCUUGGAGCAAAAUACAGUGCCUUAGAAACCUUUGUGUUUGACACACAGAGAGAAAUUGUAAACAUGACAGAAUAUUUCCUACUGUGUGGAUUACUUGCGUCAAUGUUGCCUCAUUCCACCGUGGCCAUCUCAGUGAACACUGCCAGAAAUGACAACCUCGUGCUUGCGCCACCUCGGUUGGAUUGCACCAGCUACUUAUCUUUAGACAGGAAAAAUUCAUCAUGGCAAAAUGUAUUUCCAUUAACCAGCAUUACAAAUGUUAAGGAAUUGGGAUAUCAAAAAAGUCUUGCAGUCAACCUGCUUACUGAAUCUGUUACUAGUGUUAAAUCCACAAGUGGUGGCUAGAGAUAAAGGCAACCUAACAUUUCAAUUAGGGUAACUAACACACAGAGGCAUAAUUAGUAAUUAGACUAAAGAAAACUUAAUUAACUAUUUGGGAUCAUUUAACAUAAAUCUAAUGAAGCAGUCACCAUUCUGAAUCAAGUCCUUGCACCAGUGGUACUUGCACUCACAGACAGUCAUUGGGGAAGAGAUGUCAUACUUGUGUUUAAGGUGAUUUCUCAGUUGUUCUGAGGGCCCUGCCAACAGGAGAAGCCAUUAUGAUAGGAGUGAGCUAAUGUGACUCAUGGAAUAUUGAUUCUGAUCUUUGGAUCUCUUAUCCUAAUUUUACAUUACUGAAAGCAGGUCAAUCGGAUAAGAUAUGUGAUGAUAUGACAUGGAUUUUUUCUCUCCAAGUGUUAUGCUACUGUCUAGCUUCAAAUAAUUUCCUGUUUUUCAGUAAUGAAAUGAGUAUUUCCUUAUACAUUCAUGCAUUGAGUAACAAUUAUUUGACCUAGGAGGCGUCUCUGCUGAUGGAGACCCUAUGACUCAGUGUCAUACACACCCACAGUUGCCUCAAGCUGCACGUCUGAGCAAUCUGUUGAGGUAUUGCUGAAGUUCUUUAAGUAGCCAGUCCAGAGGCAAGACUGAGGAGCCUGAUUAUUGAUCUCAAGAGAAGGAAACUGGAGGUCCAUAAGCCAGUCCUCAUCAGAGGAUCAGAGAUGGAGAGGGUCAGCAACUUUAAGUUCCUUGGUGUUAUCAUUUCAGAUGAUCUGUCCUGGGCCCAGCAUGUAAGUGCCGUUAUGAAAAAAGUUGGUGAAGAUUUGAUAUGACAAACUUCUGCAGAUGUGUGGUGGAGAGUAUAUUCAUUAAUUUCAUCACAGCCUAGUAUGGAAACACCAAUGCCUUGAAUGGAAGAUCCUACAGAACAUAGUGGAUAUAGCCCAGUCCAUCACAGAUGUUGGAGCAUACAAAUAAAUCAGAUCAGAAAAUGCUUCAGUCUUUUCCUGCCUCAUCUUUUCUACAAGGAAGUACUGUAUAUAUGACAACAGAAACUUUCAAGCAUUAAUAUCAAAAGCCUUGGUAAGGACUAUUUUCACUUUGCCUUAUGCAUACAAAAAUACAAUUUUCUCCACCUUUAUCAUAUCUAUACAAAUGACCUUCAGCUUCCAGACAAGCACUUCCAAAAUGUUUUCCUUUUUCAUUAACCAUGGCUCCUCUCUACCAUGUUGUAUUCCCUGAAGUUUGAGACAGCAAUGGGUCCUAUUGAAGGUAGAAAAUGAAGAGAUCACAAAGCAAAUGGUGCACUGAACUGUUCCCACUGAACUGGACUCACUUUCAGGGACAAUUCAUCUCAAGUUCAGUAUUUUAUUAUUAUUAUUAUUAUUAUUAUUAUUACUGUUAUUAUUUUCUUUUUGCAUAUUCACAAUUUGUUGACUUUUGCAGACUGGUUGCUUGCCCUGUUAGUGUAGUCUUUGAAUUGAUUCUAUCACAGUAAUUAGAUCUAUUAAGUAUGCCUGCAAGAAAAUGAAUCACUGGCUUGCAUGUGGUGACAUAUGUAUAUAUACUUUGAUAAUAAAUUUACUUUGAACUUUAAAUUUGAAGAUAUCAACAAUAAACUUGAAUGUUACAAUGAAAAUGAAGAUUUGGAGGACACAAUUGUGAAUAGCAUUGCUCCAAGACAGUCCACUAUCUACCCUAGAUGUCCGCAUUGAUUUUGUUAAUUUACAGUCAAUUGAAAAAUGCAACAGGUGAAUUCCUCCACCAAUAACUAUUAAGAACGAAUACACAGCUUUAUUCUACUGUGGUAGUAUUGAUAGGUUCCUAAUUUGUUCUGUAUUUCAUUUAAAUAUAUUAUUUGUUACUCAGUUAAAUGAUAGUUUGUAUCUUUUGUACCUUUUAACUAUUUCCAUUAAACUUCAGAUAAUUGGGGCAGCCAUUUAGUUUGCCUAAGAUAUACUGGUGUGUCCAUGGUAUAACAAAGAUAUUCUGUUUAUUCUUUCUAUCUCCUAUCUGCACACUUUGUAACUUAAAACUAUAUUGUCACAUUCCUAGGUCUGCUGACAGGUCUUUAAGUUCAAGUUCGAGUUUAAUUAUCAUUCAACCAUACACAGGAAUACAGCCAAAUGAAGCAGCCUUCCUCUGGGCCCAGGGUGCAAAGCAUUGUACUAACAGUCACACACACAGCACAUAGAAUUAUGUUAGCAGAAAAACAUACAGCAACAAAAAACUAACAUAAAAACCAAAUAAUACAGUCCAGGUCCCUGAGUGUCAUGGCCCAUGGAUUGAUGGUGCAUGGAUGUUCUCCUGGAGCCACAUUUCUGCAAGAACAGCCCAUAGCAGUUCCUCAUCUUGUGCAAAUGCUGAUUCACUCCAGUUUGGGUCCCCAGGAGCACACACUGGAGAGCAGCAUGAAAGGCAAAAGUCAGCCCCAACUCAGUAUGGAAUCCAACGGCACACAGCCCGCUACGGCAUCUACUUCACCAACAACCACAACAGAUGACCCCAAACCAAAAAGGUCCUGUCCACACUACAACAAAUACAAACACUGCAGCUCCCCAUCCAUCAGACUCACCAAUGAACCAGUGAAUCAGAAUCACGGUACUUCACAUCACCAAUGUCCAACAGGGACUUGUGAUCACAAGAAAAACAUCCAAGCUAAUUACUUCCAUUGGAUAGUGCACCGACUGUUAUGCCUUCUUCCCCAGGUGACUGAAGCAACACGGUGCACAAGUCCAGCUCCACCACUCGCUGAUGGGGUUGACCUGCUAUAUUGAUGUUCUUAAUAUCCAGCAGCUUCUUGUCAUUGUAAAACAGAUAUCAAGGACACACAAUCUCACCUUUGUUUGAACCCAACAAGGCUGCUGCAUUGGAACGCGCCACCAUCUUACCGAAGUCUUUCAGCGGAUGCAUUAACUCUGCUUCUCAUUCCACAGGUACUGUCUAACCGUCUGAGUGUUUCUGGCAUGUUUCCCUCAGACUUCCAGUACCUAAUUAUUGUUUUUGAUUUUAUUGACUUGGUUAACUUUAUUCAGGUAUGUGCAGGAAGCCUUAGCGUGUGUUUUUACAUCUCAUUUUUCUUGCCUUAUUAAUUUUUAGUUAUUCAUUUGUUUUUAAUUUUCUACCCAAUCUUCCAAUCAGCACCUUCAGCAAUUACGUUUUUCUUUAAGUUGGAUAAAUUCUGGGAAUGUUCAGGGAAUCAGUCGCAUCAGUGGAGAGAGAAACAGAGUUAAUAUUUCAGGUGUCUUUAGAAAUGAGGGUUUUAGUGAUGGUCUUAAACAAUGCCAUAGAUUCCACAACGGUUCCAGCGGAUUAGAAAGCAGAAAAUUUAACACUACGAGUUAAGAAAGAAGAACUAAGAUAAAUGGGAAGUAGCAGAUCAUGUGGUCAGGCAUCAGUUGUUAAUAAAAUAAUGCAGUCCGUUGUUAUGAACAUGAUAAGAGAAAAUAUAAACAGGAGAAAGUCUGCAGGUGCUGGAAAUCCAAAACAGCACACACAAAAUGCUGGAUGCAUGGAACGGAAUAAGGUGUCAAUGUUUUGGACCAAGAUCCUUCUUCAGGACAGGACUAGAAAAUUUUGAGUUUUCAAUUAGGAAGAGUCAAUGUGAUUUAUGAAAAUAAAAUAGUGACAGACCUUUUAGACUUAAUGAUGUAAAUAACUGAGAAUAAGUGAGAAUCAAUGAAUGUAGUCCAUUUUAAAGAUGUAAAAUAAACCAACACAGUAAAGAUUAUUAAACAAAGUGAAGACUCAUAGAAUUGCUUGUGAUGUAUUAAUAUUCAUAGAGAAUUGGUUAAAGGAGAGAAAACAGAGAGAGGGAAUAAGUGAAUAUUUAAAAUAGGCGACUAUUAUCCAGUCUUCAUUUUUACAAACUCUGCUGACAACCCAGACGAAAUGAAAGUACCCAAGUUGGUUGAAAAUUUAACCUUGUGUGGAAAGGGAACUGUGGAGAAAGUAGAGAACAUGUGCAAGUACACUGAAUGGACAAUAAAUUAGAAUGUGGAGUACAAUGAGUAAAAAAGCAAGGAUUUUCACUUUGAUUGGAAAAUUAUGGAAAAUAGAAUAUAUUUCAGAUAGUUUGAAACAGAUCAAUGUUACUGUACUACAGGAUCUUGCAGAGCUCCUUCUGGAAACAAAAAGUUAAUGUAGAAGGCCCACGUUCUAAUAUGAUAAUACUGAAUGGCAGAACAGACCUGAGUGACCCCAGCUUUUGAAUUUUGUAUUAUUGUGUGUCAUUCUUAGGUGAGGUGUUGAAUUGCAAUUUGCUGCUGAUGUUGAACAUAUCAGAUGGGUCCUAGGAACCCCCAUCUUCCCUGAUCACCCCAACCCUUCCCUCUGCAACUCUGUUCCACCUUCUGAUCCAUCUCUAAUCUUUGCCCUUUCUUCACCAUUCCCUCCAACCUUCCACUCUCUGAGGCAGAACGUUUUGUCCUCAGCAAGGACAAAACCUUUGUCCCUCUUCUCCUGUACCUCAGGGAGUUCCAUGCCUGCUGCAUGCUGAGCUCUUCCUCCAUUGCCUCCAUCUCUGAGUUCACGCCAUUGGCAAGAAUUCCAUCCACACCCUGCACCAAUGAUCCCUCUUCCUCUUCCUGGACACCCCACUCCAGUUCCCUGCCUGGUCUAGAUCGUUUCAUCUCGAAUGCUGACGAGACAUCAACUGUCUCAACCUCAGCACUCCACUCUCUUGAAUCUUAUCCCUCUGAAUGCACCAAUCCCAACCUUGCCACCAAACCCGCAGACAAAGGGGUUGCUGUUGUAGUGUGGCGGACUGACAUCUACUUUACCGAGGCCAGGCAGCAAAUCUCAGAUACCUCCUCUUACCUACCCCUUGAAGAGGACCCCAUCCAGACCAUCAGAAAAAUGUCAUAGAUGCCAUCACUGAUCUCAUCAACUCUGGAGAACUCUCACCCACAGCCAGUUACCUUACCCAACAUUCCUCACUUCUACCUCCUACCCAAGAUCCACAAACUGGACUGACCAGGUAGGCCAAUGGUCUCUGCCUGCUCCUGCCCCACUGAAUUUGUGUCCUCAUACCUCAACUCCAUUCUAUCCUCCUUGAUUCAGUCCCUUCCACCUAUAUCCGUGACAGUUCUCAUGUUCUCGAUCUCCUCACUAACUUGCAAUUCUCCAGCCCUGUCCCCCUCAUUUUCACCAAGGAUAUCCAAUCCCUAUACACUUCUACCUUCCAUCUCGAAGGCCUUAUAGCUCUUUGCUUCUUUGUCAAUAAAAGAACCAAUCAGUUCCCCUCCACCACCAUGUUCCUCCAUCUGGCAGAACCGGUUCUCACCCUCAAAAAUGUUUCCUUCGGCUCCUCCCACUUUCUCCAGACUCAAGGGGUACCCAUGGGCACCCACACGGUCCUCAGUCUAUGCCUGCCUUUUCACUGGCAAGGUAGAGAGGUCCAGGGUCCAAGCCUUCCCCGGUAAUGUUAACUCUUCCUCUGGUACAUUGACGAUGAUGUUGGUGUUGCAUCAUGCACCCACAUUAAGCUUGUCGAUUUCUUCAACUUUGCCUUCAACUUCCACUCUGCCCUCAAAUUCACCAUGCAGUUUUGAAGCCUCCUCCCCCUUUCUUUGUCUCUCUGUCUCCAUCACUGGAGAUGAACUGUCGACUGACACGUUUUAUAAACCUACUGAUUCCCAUGCUUCUCUUGGCUAUAUCUCUUCCCGCACUGUCUCCUGUAAAAGUACCAUAGCCUUUCCAAGUUCCUUCGUUUCUGCCACAUCUAUUCCCAGCAUGCAGCUUUCCUUUCCAGGAAUCAGAGAUGUCCUCCUUCAAAGAAUAGGGCUUCCUCUACCAUCGAGGCUUCUCUCAUUUGCAUUUUCUCCAUUUCCCAAUCAUCUACACUCAACCCAUCUUCCCUCCGCCUUAACAGUGAUAGAGUUCUUCUUGUCCUUACCUACCACCCCGUGAGCCUCCACAUCUUACACAUCAUUCUUUGCAACUUCUGUCAUCUCCAAGAGAAUCUUACCAUUAAACAUAUCUUUGCCUACCUCUCUCUCUCCACUUUCUACAGGAAUUGUUCCCUCUGUGAUUCCUUUGUCCGUUUCACCCUCCCCACUGAUCUCCCUUCCGGCAAUGCCCCUGCAAGCAGCCUAAGUGCUACUCCUGCCCCUACACCUCCUCCCUCACCUCCAUUCAGGGCCCCAAACAGUCCUUCCAGGUGGGAUAGUGCUCCCGGUGUGGGCUCCUCCACAUUGAAGAGACACAUUGGUGAGGCAGAUCAGCUGGUUGGGAGGUGUUGCAACAAUUGCAUUGUACUCCAUGUCAUUAAGACCAAGAGAUUGAUUGUGGACUUCUGGAAGGGGAAGUUGAGGGAACAUGCAUCAGUCCUCAAUCAGAAGUGGAAAGAAUGAGCAGUUUCAAGUUCCAAUGUGUCAAUAUCUCUGAAGAGAUCUAUCCUGGACCCAACGUAUUGAUGUAAUUAUAAAGAAGGCACAAUAUUAGGAGUUUGAGGAGACUUGGCAUGUCACCAAAGACUCUCGUCAAUUUCUAUAAAUGUACUAUGGGGAGCAUUCUAACUGGUUGAAUCAUCAUCUGGUAUGGAGGGGCCAAUGUACAGGAUUGGAAAAAGCUGCAGAAAGUUACAGUUUCAUCCAGCUCCAUCAUGAGCACUAGACUCCGCCACAAUGAGGAUAUCGUCAAAAGAAUAUGCCUCUAGAAGGCAGUAUCCAUUAUUAAGGACCCCCAUCCCCCAAAACAUGCCCUCUUCUCAUUGCUACCAUCAAGGAGGAGAUACAGGAGCCUGAAGCCACACACCCACUGUUUUAAGAACAGCUUUUUCCCCUCCACUAUCAGAUUUCUGAAUGUACACUACACUAAUUUUUUGCUCUUUUUUGCACUACAUAUUCAAUUUAUUUUUAACGUUUAUAGUUGUUAUUGUAGUUUAUAGUCUUUUCAUGUAUUGCAAUGUACUGCUGCUGCAAAACAACACAUGCCAGUGAAAUUAAACCUGAUCGAAGUCAGACUGCAAACACAACAGUUACUAUAUUUUCAAACAGAACGGGUGGUGCACCUCAGAAAAAUUUAUUGUACAAGAAGCACAUCAACCAUUUAAGAACUGUGACAAAUUGCUAAAUACAGUCGUAUUUCAGUAAAACAGUUAACACAUCACAACACUGUCUGUAGAAGGUAGGGGCCUAAUUAAAAUUAGUCAGAGGUGUAUUUCCUUAGCCAUUCAAAAUUUCCGAGGAAUCAUCGUGUAAAACCUGGAUGAUUUAAACAUUUUCAUGGUAAGUAGGAGAAUGUACCAGCAGUCAGGAGUGUAUCAAUUGUUUUCUGAAAUUAAUGAGGAAGAUUCAUUGUGAAAUCUUGAUAUCUUCUUUGGCAAAAUUGAAUGAAAUGACUAAUUUACAUUAAAGAUGUUCUAACUUCAAAUCAGCGCUCACAAAAACAAUUCUCACUUGCAUUACUACUAAAGUGAUGCAGUAUAAAUCUAGUUUAUAUUACAGUUUCAAUAAUAUAAAACAAAGUCUCCUUUAACUGAACCUACAUCUGUAAUAUCUACCAUUGAAAACUCAGAGUUAUCGGCUAUUAUUAUAAAUAUUUUCUAUGCCAUUACAAAUCAACGUUCUGUUAUUAUAUUGUUAUACUGUAUUAUUCAGCUUCUUGUUUGAUUACUAUUAUACUAAUUAAAGAUGUUUACAGCAAGUGAUUUGUUAUGGUCUAACAUGCUGAUCACACAACAAUAGAAUUUUGCAUGAGACUUUCUAUUCACCGGCACUUUAAAACACUCCAUUGAGUAACAUUUAUGCAAACUUUAAAUGAAUGAAAAUGUUAAAAACCUGGUAUUUGGAUGAAUAUUUUCUCUUGGAAUUGUAAUUGGUUUCUUCUCUCACCUUAAUUUCAGUUAGUAGAAUGUUUUAAUCUGCACUGAUCCCUAGCAGUGAGGAAGUUUCCAAGUGGCAUUGUUAGCAGUUGCCCAUGAAAUCAGCUUAUUAACAUCAAGAUAACUAUGUUAUGAAUCAAUAUGCAAUGGAUUUACCAAAAGAAUUAAAGUUAGAAUUACUUGUUGAUCCAUUGCCUGAUGAGGUCUUGCAUGACACAAUCAAAAAUAAUCUUAAAAAUGAACACUAAAUAUUUGGAGGAACAGUAGAGAAGGGGACCAUAACCCAGUUUGGAGUGAGGAAGAGAAAAAUCAGAAGAACUGUAGGUUAUAUUCUCUCUAUAUGUAGGUAGUGGCUUCUGAUGUGUGUCCAUGAAUGUUAGUUUACCUAGCCUAACGUUUGCCAGUCAUUUCCUUUAAUACCAAUAGUUAAUCAAAGCUUGAUUGCCAAUUAUUAAAUAUUGAAAGGUCCCUGUGUUUCUCAUUGCUUCAGGAGAAAGAAGGGAAAAGGAGAGGAAAUAAAGAAAAUAAAAGGAAAACAACUGAAAGCUGAAGGAGAAGUGUACAUUCUAGCUUUUGAUAAAAUGAUCUGUUUAUUAUUACUGACAGAUAAGUUCACUGCUUAAUGUACAAACUGAGGCCAGUAGUCAGCUGGUCAGAAUGAAAUACUGUGAACCACAUGGCUACCCUACAAGUACAUUCAAUAGAAGUUUAAUUGCAAUGACAAAAUUUUACUAAUGCUACAAAAUUAACCUUUUGAUUUGUUUUUAUACAGGAAUCAUUCAAUAUGUUAUGGCAUUUUAAGAUUCUUAUAUAGCCAUAUAAAAAUUAGACCCAAAAUUUGGACAAUUUUCACAAAUGUGGCCUGUGGAAAUGUUAUUUAUAUGCAUUCAUCAAGGUUCUAUUGCACUAUAAAAAUGUCUUGGGAGUGCAGGAGUAGACAAUCUGAGAAUAUUCAGGGCCUGGUUGAAAAUUUGUACAACAUUAGACUCUGGUAUAGGUUUUUACGUAUACUGAAUGAGAAUACAUAUUUAUUUGGAUUAUUUUCUGUUUGCUAGGAAAUAUCAACUCAAGUUGAUUGACUCACUAUAUAUGUAUAAUAAAGGAAAAUGUGUUAUCAAUAUAAUUAAAUCCACACUAAUAUUCUAG